rnacentral:lncRNA from 1 species
UCCGAAUUUUGGUAAUAUAUCGAAUGCGAUUCUGGCUAUUGCCAUUAUGUUAUCAAAUGCGUAACUUUGGAUUUAAAAAGUAAAUGUCGAUUUAAACAUUAUCAAGGUAAACAGUCUUUGAGUAUACAGAUAAUAUAUUGAAUUUAAUCGCCUGAGGUUCACAUUUUUCCCUAGCGCUAUCAUUUCGUUUAAAUAUGGAAAUUAAAUUGACAUAUUUUAUCAAAUUAAUAGGGUUUAUAUUAGCCGGUCUCGCGUUUCUGGCAUACAAACUUCACGUUGUAAAAGUAAAUACGCUUUUUAAAGUUUGCCAACAAAAUUUUGGACUCUAACUUAGAUUAUAAGUUUCUUAUUCACGUAUGAGGUUCACAAUUUGUUCAAAUCGUACUAAAAAUCUGUAUUUGAAGAAUAAAUGUUGCCUUGUAUAUGUUUUCCUAUUAUUUUUGUUAUAUAUCGCGCGCACUGAAGUAGCGUGGGACGAGUAUAAUUAAUUCGCGUGGUGACGAUUUCUGACGAUGCCACGGAUAAUUUUCCUGAGUGGAAACUAGCCUUUACGAUGUAGGACGGCAACGCGACGACAACGGCCAGAAUAAAAUCAUUCAAAUAAACGAUUGUAAAGAAAGUUUGUAGACUAUUGUUGAUCGUAUCAAUUUAACACUGUUUGGUUAGCUUGAAAUAGUGGCUUUAUUGUUGAGAAAGUUCUACUGUAGUACGGAGCUAAUUUGCUGAGUAUAUCAUUUCUCGCGCGUCUUGAAAUGCAGGCGUUUUAUCCAAGACGUAAAAGUCUGUAGUUUCCCGGCGUUGUAAACAAACCGUGCACGACGUCUCAAACUCCCGUGGGAUAUUAGUUAUUCAUUUUUGUUCUUAAAUAUUAUGAAUCUCAUUGUGUGAAUAACCGUCGACGUCACGUUGCCGUCUCACAUCGUAAGGUCCCUAAAGGUCCCUAAUAAAAUAACGGAGCAGUUUGAACGACUACGAACAGCGUGCUGAGAACGUUCAAGCCGUCAAGGCAAUAUAUAGGUAUCUGAAAAACGUUCUGCUUCGAGGGAUUGUGGGUUGUUUGUAAAGAAAGAGAAGUACUUUUUCAGUAACAGGCAAAUAAAAUUUAGUAGUGUGUGCUUUAUUUGCAUGCGUACAAAAAUAUGAAUAAUACAAAGACCGCGCAAAGCCUGCGAAUCACGUUGAAAGAAUGCAUUCUAAUGUGGUAUUUUUAUAUAAAAUUUAGAAUUUUAAACAAUGCUAGCUGCUGGCCGUACUGACUAGAAACUAAAAAUCAACCUUGGCUGAACAUCAACCUUGGCUACAAAUGAGGCGGCAUGAUGGGUAUGUAGGGAAUGUAUGAGGGUAUGUAAUGUACAGGCAUAUAAAUAGAGGAUAUUACACGUUGGCUUGAAGAUAUGACUUUUUAUCUUCGAGUGGUGAAAACAAUAUUUUACUAACGAGCGCAGCGAGUGAGUAAAAUAUUGUGUUUAACACGAGAAGAUAAAAGUCAUAUCUUCAAGCCAACGUGUAAUGUUCUGUUUAUUAUAUAGUCCGAAGCAAAAAAUUGUAUAAAUACUAAAAGUCACGUGAUCGAUAUCCUCACUAGUGAAGAUAUGGACAAUAUGUCACUGCGUAUUUACCAGUAUCUCACUCUCUACUAUAUAAUAAUUAUGGCUGCAUAUAUAGUGCUAUAAUAAGACAAUUAAGACGCAAACGAAACGGGGCUCUAAAAACGUUUUACUUCGUGUGAUAGUCGAAUGAACAAUGACAAAUCUCUUUUUAUUUUUGGGUUUUUAAUUAAGGUACAUAUCAGUAUUUCUCAGUGUUACAUGAUGGCUAUUAUCAUGUAAUUUUACAUAUAUUAAAUAUUAUUAUACUAUUAUUAUAUUAUACUAUAGCUCAUACUUAAUUAUAGCCUGCGAACAGGCUCUCAAGCUAAAUUGAGAACUUAAUUAUUAUAUUAUAGCUUACAUGCAUGAGUAAGCAAAUAGUUCUAAAGAUUAGAGUAAACGCCUUGUCCACAAAUAACGUCAACGGACAUGAGUGUGGUUAGAGAACUUUGCACCAACGACCGCAGCAUUGCGUAUGGGAAAUGCGUCAAGAUGGCAAAGUCAUCCUCUGACCAACACUAUAAAAGUAGCUUCACGCAUCAGUGAACAUGAUUGAUUACGUUAUGAUUAUUAGCAUUAUGAUUUAAAAUAGAGAAAUGAUGAAGGAUUAAGGAAGAGUAUUCCAUGGCUGAAGACGAAGCUGCUUUAACGCGCUGAUUAACGUAGAAAGAAAACAACAUGGAUAUCUUCUGGACUAUGGUCACUAUGAUUUAUUACGAAUAUGAACUGUUGCUAUAUCAAGUUGCAAUGCUCACUCGGACAGAUAAGUUUUAACAUAUAGCCUAAUUAACCAUAUUGUCAUGUAGCUUAAUUAAUAUAACUAAUGCUUUCUACUAUAAUAUAUAUAUAUCAAAAGGUAAAAUGCUUAGAUUUACAUUCUUUUGUUGCGAGUAAAUAGGACCAGAGCGGCCAGACAAAAUAGUAGGGACCGGCUC